rnacentral:rRNA from 1 species
UACAGAGGUCUCAAGCGUUGUUCGGAUUCAUUGGGCGUAAAGGGUGCGUAGGUGGAUUGGUAAGUCAGUGGUGAAAUCUCCGGGCUUAACCCGGAAACUGCCAUUGAUACUAUCAGUCUUGAAUACGGUGGAGGUCAGUAGAAUAUGUCAUGUAGCGGUGAAAUGCUUAGAUAUGACAUAGAAUACCAAUUGCGAAGGCAGCUGGCUACACGAAUAUUGACACUCAGGCACGAAAGCGUGGGGAUCAAACAGG